AGCAGUCGCCGCGGUAAUACAGAGGGUGCGAGCGUUAAUCGGAUUUACUGGGCGUAAAGCGUGCGUAGGCGGCUUUUUAAGUCGGAUGUGAAAUCCCUGAGCUUAACUUAGGAAUUGCAUUCGAUACUGGGAAGCUAGAGUAUGGGAGAGGAUGGUAGAAUUCCAGGUGUAGCGGUGAAAUGCGUAGAGAUCUGGAGGAAUACCGAUGGCGAAGGCAGCCAUCUGGCCUAAUACUGACGCUGAGGUACGAAAGCAUGGGGAGCAAACAGGAUUAGAGACCCCGUAGUCCCUGUCUCUUAUACA
rnacentral:rRNA from 1 species